UACGUAGGGUGCGAGCGUUAAUCGGAAUUACUGGGCGUAAAGCGUGCGCAGGCGGUUCGUUAAGUCAGCUGUGAAAGCCCCGGGCUCAACCUGGGAAUGGCGGUUGAAACUGGCGAACUUGAAUCUGGCAGAGGGGGGUGGAAUUCCACGUGUAGCAGUGAAAUGCGUAGAGAUGUGGAGGAACACCGAUGGCGAAGGCAGCCCCCUGGGCUGAGAUUGACGCUCAGGCACGAAAGCGUGGGGAGCAAACGGG
rnacentral:rRNA from 1 species